rnacentral:miRNA from 1 species
CAGACUGCUUGAGUGUCAGCAGGUCUGACACUCCACAGGUCUGUGGUGGAGCCCAGGAAUCUGCAUUUGCAGCAAACAUUCCAGGUAAUGUUCAUGCAGGGAAC